AGCUCCAAUAGCGUAUAUUAAAGUUGCUGCGUUUAAAAAGCUCGUAGUUGGAUCUCAGUCUCGAUCGGUCGGUCCAUCCUCUGGGUGGUUACUGGCUCAAUCGGACGUUGUUGGCCACGUUUCCGAGCAUGCUCUUCAUUGAGUGUGUUCCGGAGAGUGGAGCGUUUACUUUGAAAAAAUUAGAGUGUUCAAAGCGGGUUUCUCGCCCGAAUAAUGGCGCAUGGAAUGAUGGAAUAGGACCGCCGUCCUCUUCGGCCGGUCUCGGGGACGGAGGUAAUGAUUGAAAGGGACGGCCGGGGGCAUUCGUACCGCUGCGGGAGAAGUGAAAUUCGGUGAUCGUAGCGAGACGAACGAGAGCGAAAGCAUUUGUCAAGAGCGCUUUCUUUAAUCAAGAACGAAA
rnacentral:rRNA from 1 species